CUGGAUUUGACCAUUGCCUCGCAGAGGGCCAAACUCACAGAACAGAAAAUUAAAUCCGACGAUUGCCUCGCAGAGGGUCGAUAACAGAAAACUAAAACCUGGAUUUGACCAUUGCCUCGCAGAGGGCCAAACUCGCAGAACAGAAAUUUAAAUCCGACCAUUGCCAAGCAGAGGGCCGAUAACAGAAAGAAAAACUUGAGCUUGAGGUGCCAGGCGAGCUGGGCUUUGGGUGCCAGACAAAACUGGGGUUAUGGGCCAGGCGAGCUGGGCUUAUGGGCCAG
rnacentral:lncRNA from 1 species